CCUGCAUCUGCACCUGCACCA
rnacentral:miRNA from 1 species